rnacentral:tRNA from 1 species
GAGAUUGUGGCUCAGUGGUAGAGCACUCGCCUGACAUGUGUGAGGCACUGGGUUCGAUCCUCAGCCCCA